GCAUUCUCUCCGGCGGCUCUUCUCUUCGGCAGUUCGAAGAAACUCUGGAAAUCAGGAUUUUCUCGUCUUCUCUCUCAGGUGGAAAUAGGUGCUGGAAUGUGGACCAGGAUCUAGAGCUUGGGGUGCAUAACCAUCAGAACAUGCCGUUAGUAUUCCUUUAUAUGGAAAAUACUACAUCAACUUCUUUUGGGUGGUUUGGAGAACGGUUUAUGUGGUUUCAGAAUUUUUAUUCUCUGGUUGCAGUUGUUCAUCCAUCCUCUUGAUGGUACUUGAUCAAAUGGCUAAGCUGGUGAAGUCCACCAAGUGUUUCACUAGGAAUGCGGUCCUCUUAAUAUGAACAAUUUCUUUAGGAAAUGAUUUUUUUUUGGUGUUUGAUUGCAGAUGGAGAUGGAAACCAUUUUGUUUAUUUUCUGAGGAAUUAGGGAAAUAAUUAAUUCCUUAUUGAGUAUGAUUUCUGAGGAAAAUAAUGAUAGGGAAUGUUGAUCAAAAGAGGAGUGAGGAACAUGGUCUUGUUGAUCAGAUACAGUAAUUUCUUUGAAAGGAAUGUUGAUUAGAUACAGUAAUUUCUACCUGGAAUAUAUGGUUGAUACAGUAA